AGUUCCGGGAGAGGCUGGAGCUCAUAACCCAGUAGUUCCAGGGGUUGCAGAGUGCGGCAGAAUGCGGUGCGCUCAGGGCGGAUGUCUACAGGGGACUGAAAACGGCCAGCACAGGCUGAAGAUACCUGGGGCCAGAGUAGGGUGCCUGGGGGUGAGAGGAAAAGUUCCUGGCUUAGAGCCAAGCACCGUGGCGCACACACCUGAAAUCCCAGAACUCGGAGGUAGAAGCGGGUAAAUGGCAGAAAAUAGUUCAAGGCCAAUCCGAUCUACACAAUAAGACCUUAUCUCACCCUCCGCCCCAGAGCAAACCAGAGUUCCUCCACCUGUCGAUUCCCACACCGCAAAUCAUAGUACUGGAGACCGGACUCCAGGGUGGCAUGGGUACGGUGCAUGCACUCUUUCACUGAGCUUCGCUCCCAGAGCUAAACUAUUCAUUCUUCUCUCCAAACUCCGCACUGCCUUUGUGAAUCUCCAUCAUGGUGCCUAGAAUGCCAUUCAUGUUUGCCCGCCGUAUUUGUUUAAUACCUACGGUAUGUUAGGCACUGGGCCGUGGACUAGAGAUGCGGAAAUGAAAACGAAGGCUCCUUUCUGAGUUCUCGCUCCAUUGCGUGAGGACAGAUAUUGUAAUUCUGCCUCAAGGAACUAUGGAUGUGGGUAAAAUCUGUUCCCAUCUUUGAAUCAGAGGUAGAAGCCCCACGGGGAGAAGGAUUCAUAAUCACAGUAAAGAGAUUGGAAUUCUAGAGAAAGAAGAGACAUGGACUAUUUUGAAUAGAGGCUGGCCAGAUGGCUUAAUGGGUAAAGACACUUGCCACCGAAUUUGAUGAUCCGAGGUGGAAACCUAGAAUUGAAAUGGUGGAAAGAGAACCAUUUCCUACAAGUUGCCCUCUGCCCCCUGUGUGCCAUGGCACAUGCAUGUGCACACACACACACACACACACACACACACACACACACACCAAAUACAUGUAAAAUGAAGUCUUUUGAAGAGCG
rnacentral:lncRNA from 1 species